rnacentral:sRNA from 4 species
AUGCAUCGCUGGCACGCUGCGGUUCUGGGCGCGCCAGCCGCGCCCGCUGACAGCUGCAUGCGACGGAUGGUCAGCC